CAGUCGCCACGGGAAUACGUAGGUGGCAAGCGUUGUCCGGAAUUAUUGGGCGUAUAGGGCUCGCAGGCGGUUUCUUAAGUCUGAUGUGAAAGCCCCCGGCUCAACCGGGGAGGGUCAUUGGAAACUGGGAAACUUGAGUGCAGAAGAGGAGAGUGGAAUUCCACGUGUAGCGGUGAAAUGCGUAGAGAUGUGGAGGAACACCAGUGGCGAAGGCGACUCUCUGGUCUGUAACUGACGCUGAGGAGCGAAAGCGUGGGGAGCGAACAGGAUUAGAGACCCGUGUAGUCCCUGUCUCUUAUAC
rnacentral:rRNA from 1 species